GACUGACCGAUAGUGAACCAGUACCGUGAGGGAAAGGCGAAAAGAACCCCGGCGAGGGGAGUGAAAAAGAACCUGAAACCGUGUACGUACAAGCAGUGGGAGCACGCUUAGGCGUGUGACUGCGUACCUUUUGUAUAAUGGGUCAGCGACUUAUAUUCUGUAGCAAGGUUAACCGAAUAGGGGAGCCGAAGGGAAACCGAGUCUUAACUGGGCGUUAAGUUGCAGGGUAUAGACCCGAAACCCGGUGAUCUAGCCAUGGGCAGGUUGAAGGUUGGGUAACACUAACUGGAGGACCGAACCGACUAAUGUUGAAAAAUUAGCGGAUGACUUGUGGCUGGGGGUGAAAGGCCAAUCAAACCGGGAGAUAGCUGGUUCUCCCCGAAAGCUAUUUAGGUAGCGCCUCGUGAAUUCAUCUCCGGGGGUAGAGCACUGUUUCGGCAAGGGGGUCAUCCCGACUUACCAACCCGAUGCAAACUGCGAAUACCGGAGAAUGUUAUCACGGGAGACACACGGCGGGUGCUAACGUCCGUCGUGAAGAGGGAAACAACCCAGACCGCCAGCUAAGGUCCCAAAGUCAUGGUUAAGUGGGAAACGAUGUGGGAAGGCCCAGACAGCCAGGAUGUUGGCUUAGAAGCAGCCAUCAUUUAAAGAAAGCGUAAUAGCUCACUGGUCGAGUCGGCCUGCGCGGAAGAUGUAACGGGGCUAAACCAUGCAC
rnacentral:rRNA from 1 species